rnacentral:misc_RNA from 1 species
GAUGAAGAACGCAGCGAAAUGCGAUAAGUAAUGUGAAUUGCAGAAUUCAGUGAGUCAUCGAAUCUUUGAACGCACAUUGCGCCCGCCAGUAUUCUGGCGGGCAUGCCUGUUCGAGCGUCAUUUCAACCCUCAAGACCCCUUCGGGGGACUUGGUGUUGGGGACCGGCACAGGGGCCUGCCUGCUUGUCUUGCAGCGCCCUCGCCGCCCCCGAAAUGAAUUGGCGGCCUCGUCGCGGCCUCCCCUGCGUAGUAGCACAACCUCGCAACGGGAACGUGACGGCGGCCACUGCCGUAAAACAACCCCAAUUUUAUUAGAGUUGACCUCGAAUCAGGUAGGAAUACCCGCUGAACUUAAGCAUAUCAAUAAGCGGAGGA